GCCGCCGCCAUGGCCCCGCCUGCACCGGGCGGGCCCGGGAAGGGUUUUCCGGAGUUUCGGCGGAGGAAGGUGGCCUGUGCCCACUCAAGUUUUGUGCAAACCCGCAGCUGACGAACCCCGACGUUAGUAGUUGUCUGUGUUCAUAGUCACGAGGAACUCUGAAAUUCCCAUGACAAAGGCUGGGACUGCAGAUUCCCGUUUCCAGGCCAGAAACGCGUAGUUGGGUGUAAACCACCCCUGUUGUAACCUUCCCUCUCCGGGGAGUUUCCGAGCAGGCAGCGAGGACUAUAAGAGUGGGACUCGGGCACGGGCAGGGCAGAAGCCAUUGAGCGAGCCUGGAGCACUGCACGCAUGGAGGCUGCACUGGCAGACAAAACGGACAGCUUUUCCUCUUCCAGUGCAGACGUGGACAGGGGACUUGGCCCCGCCGUCUGCUUCCAUGGGUAGAGCCCACAGCCAGCUGUGAGAUGAAGGAUUGAGACCUCGCUGACACUUCUUCUUUCUCCUCUUGCACUGCCCUCCACCCACCAGAGGAAGCCAAGCAUGGAGGGGGGCCAGCCUCAGCUCUGCUUGGAAAGGAAGCAGGAGGGAGACAGCUGGAGGUCAGCGAGAGCUGGCAACAACAUUAUCUACACUGCAGCUGGCGUGGGACACUUCUGCUGGCAAAGAGGAGCUCUGCCAUCCCUCCUCUCCCAGGAGUGUUUCAUGGUUGGGAGGUACCAAAUAACUCCCGUAAAAUGCUGUCCCAGGUACGCUCUGCUUCACACUGCCAAUUCUGGGACAGGAAUUUUGGUAUUUCUGCAACAACCUUACUGUCUUGUCCAAAACAACAAAAUAAACAAAGCUGUGUCUAUCUUG